rnacentral:rRNA from 1 species
GAUUGCAAGUCCUUGUUGAACAAAUUAUAUAUAUACUACUUCAUCAUUAGUAUAUAUAGUUCGCUUCUCAUGUCGUAGCAGUCAAACAGGCGGGCGUCUUAAUUGGCGCGGUCACGAGGCUUAAUAUGCUGCGGCUGGGGAAAACUUGGGCGACCGCUGUAAUACUUCUCUCUUAAACCAGAGGAAGAUUGCGGCAAUAACAGGUCUGUGAUGCCCUCAGAUGUCCCGGG